CUACAAUCAUGGCAGUAUUUUUUGUCAACAGCAGCUCACGUAGUGAAUGUUGAUACUUAGGGUCUGAGUGA
ensembl:snoRNA